CAGCCUUUCUCUUUCCGCGGGAGGGAAUGAAAGGGAGGAGAAAGAGAUGGAAAACAGCACAAAAUUAGAUGAAAUAAUAGUUUCAGACUUUGGAGAAUAGGCAGAGAAACACUAUGAUCCCUGAGAAAAAAGAGAUAAACCACGUAAAGUCUAUAGUCAUCCUGUAUUUUUAUUGAGAGACACACAUGCAAGACCACAGUGUAGACGAAAGUCCCAAGGAGAGUAUAUGGCCUUGCCUUGUAUAGAAGACACAUACCAGAGUUCAGGCGUUUUGGAAGGAGGCUGAAGUUGCAGCAAAGGGCUCUGAAGAGGUGGUGGAUGUGCCCAAGACACAGGGAAGAAAAAGAAGUAAACAGGGAAGUACAACACAGACUCUGAAAUGGGGCAUCAUGGAAGACGGAGCUUUGUCGUCUUGGUCUUUGCUGUAUAUUCACUUCCUACAACAGUGCUAAAUACCUUGUGGAUGCUUAAAUAUAUUAAAUGAAUGCAUAAAUGAAAAGAGUAAAUAAAGAGUGUAUAUGAAAGUAUGUAGAUAAAAUUCUUCACUAAGCCUUGGGGAUCCAGCUGCUUAAGGACUAAGACCGUAUCUAGCUCCUUUUAGUAUUUCCACAGCAUGCCAUGGAGAUACAUGUUUCUGAUUAUAUAUGAUACAUGGAAAUUAUAUGUUGUUGAAUGAGUGAUUGAGUAAAUGUGUACUAGGGCAGCUAAUCAUAAAUAUUUCUACUAUUGCUAAAAUGACUGGAUUUAUCCAUUCCUUCUGAGAGUUUAUACUGAUUGCUUAUAUUGUAUCAAAUACCGUAACUGAGGGCAAUGUUUACUCAAACUAAUAGCACCAUUCAAAUUUAUGCAAACAAUAACACUAUAUCUUUAAAAUGUUUUCACUAAAAGCUGCAUAAAGAGUGUAUUCAACAACAAUAGAAUAAUUUUACAAUCUUUUUUCUUGCUUAAUGGCCAUUUGUGCCUUCUGACAUGCUGCUAGCCAUUCAAAGGUCACACUACCUUGAAGUUGAAGAUCAAGACAAAUGAUUAGACUCAUAAAAGACAAAUCACGUCUUUCUGGACAG
rnacentral:lncRNA from 10 species